GAGUUUGAUCCUGGCUCAGAACGAACGCUGGCGGCGUGGAUAAGACAUGCAAGUCGAACGGGAGAAUUGCUAGCUUGUCUAAUAAUUCUCUAGCGGCGCACGGGUGAGUAACACGUGAGUAACCUGCCCCCGAGAGCGGGAUAGCCCUGGGAAACCUGGGAUUAAUACCGCAUAGUAUCGAAAGAUUAAAGCAGCAAUGCGCUUGGGGAUGGGCUCGCGGCCUAUUAGUUAGUUGGUGAGGUAACGGCUCA
rnacentral:rRNA from 1 species